GACGAACGCUGGCGGCGUGCUUAACACAUGCAAGUCGAACGGAAAGGCCCUGCUUUUGUGGGGUGCUCGAGUGGCGAACGGGUGAGUAACACGUGAGUAACCUGCCCUUGACUUUGGGAUAACUUCAGGAAACUGGGGCUAAUACCGGAUAGGAGCUCCUGCUGCAUGGUGGGGGUUGGAAAGUUUCGGCGGUUGGGGAUGGACUCGCGGCUUAUCAGCUUGUUGGUGGGGUAGUGGCUUACCAAGGCUUUGACGGGUAGCCGGCCUGAGAGGGUGACCGGCCACAUUGGGACUGAGCUACGGCCCAGAAUCCUACGGGAGGCAGCAGUGGGGAAUAUUGCACAAUGGGGGGAAGCCUGAUGCAGCAACGCCGCGUGCGGGAUGACGGCCUUCGGGUUGUAAACCGCUUUCGCCUGUGACGAAGCGUGAGUGACGGUAAUGGGUAAAGAAGCACCGGCUAACUACGUG
rnacentral:rRNA from 1 species